GCCUCAGUAGCUCAGUUGGUAGAGCGAUCGCCUCGUAAGCGAUAGGUCGGGGGUCCGAAUCCCUCCUGAGGCU
rnacentral:tRNA from 1 species